rnacentral:lncRNA from 1 species
CAAAGCACUGGCAAGAAGCCUCCCAUGCAGGAUGAAGCCAAGGAAGAAGAGAAGAGAGGAAGGACACGCCCAUUAACCAAAGGACCCAAAACAUAUCUCAAGGAGCUCAUGAAGUCAUCCUCAUGCACACAGUUUCCCAGGUGUCAGAUCUGUUUGGUAUCUGGCUGCAGGGCCACAAACCUAAGAAGAACAUCAUGUGAGGAUGAAGGCAGAGAGCAGGGUGAUGCAGCUGAAGCCAAGGACACUGAAGACUUCCUGCAAACCCCCAGAAGCUGGGGCAGAGGCCCUCCAGUCUCCAGAAGAGGCCAACCAUGCUGAUACCUUGACCUUGGACUCCUAGCCCCAGAACUAUGAGAAAUAAAUUUCUGUUAUUUAAGUC